rnacentral:rRNA from 1 species
AACGUAGGAGGCAAGCGUUAUCCGGAUUUACUGGGCGUAAAGCGCGUGCAGGCGGUCUGGUAAAUUGGAUGUGAAAGCUCCCGGCUCAACUGGGAGAGGCCGUUCAAAACUGUCAGACUAGAGGAGGGUAGAGGGAGGUGGAAUUCCGGGUGUAGUGGUGAAAUGCGUAGAUAUCCGGAGGAACGCCAGUGGCGAAAGCGGCCUCCUGGACAGUCCCUGACGGUCAGACGCGAAAGCUAGGGGAGCAAACGGG